AGUUUAGACAGCUUACUUCUGGAAAGCACAGUUCUUCCACAUCCACCCUUUAUGUUUUGCUUUCUUUCCAUUCAUUCAUUCUCAUCAGAAAUCACCAAACUCAGUUAGGCAUUAUGGAAAGAAAGACAAGAACCCAACCGGGGUGGAAGACUUCAAGAGUGAUCAGAGAAGGCUGUAUGGAACAGGUCUUAAUCCCAAUGGCACUCACUAACAAAUGACCUGCACACCAAAUUCCACCUCAGAGUCUGCUUCCAGAGAACCCAGCCUGCACCAUGGUCUGACACAAUCUAGUCCUGCUCCAGCCUCUCUGACGCCACAUCCGACCAGUCUCCCCUGCUCCUCCUGGCUCCAAGCACACUGGCUUUGAUGUUUCUUCCAGAGGACUGGCAGACUCCUGCCUGAACGUCCUUGCAGGGCUGUGCCUUCUGCCUGGAACACACUUGCCCAGAUAUCUGCACUGCUCCUUCCCUCACCUCUUUCCAGCUUUGCUUCAAUGUCACCUUCUAAAGGAGCCUACCCUGACCCCCCAGUUAAGGCAGGAAAUAAGAGAAGAAGAUUUAAAGGGGAGACAUUUCUCCUCUUUUCCUAAUGUAUUUGCUUAUCUUUCUGGGUAUAGAUUUCAUUUUGAAGAAAUGACUUCACUCGUCUAAGAACGAGUUUGGAAAUUACUGUUUUAAAUACAUGAAGGCUCUACAGUGGGAAGGAACAGGCUCUGGAUUCACAGACCUGGACCCGGCUGCCCCAGGGCUGCCAGUCCGCAGCUGCAUGGCCUGAGGCAACUCACUCCACCCCUCUCCACCUCAGCUUAUUUGUGAAGUAGGGAUAACGAUAUUACUUAGACUUCUUAGAAUGGUUGUGACGAUUAAAUGACUUUACCUGCCUAUCAGGCUGUGAGAACCAUAAAGGGCCGAGUGAAUAUUGGGAAUUAUUGAGAGAUGGUCCUAUGAACCACACGUGGCAAAAAAUCCAGGAGAUGCAUACUUGCAUCCUGGCUUACAGGUCAGGGCCCUAGGAAAUAAUCUUUUCAGCUCUGCUCAACCCUGAAUAGACUGAGAAACUCCAGCAAAG
rnacentral:lncRNA from 1 species